rnacentral:rRNA from 1 species
UACAGAGGUCUCAAACGUUGUUCGGAUUCAUUGGGCGUAAAGGGUGCGUAGGUGGCGCCGUAAGUCAGGUGUGAAAUUUCGGAGCUUAACUCCGAAACUGCAUUUGAUACUGCGGUGCUUGAGGACUGGAGAGGAGACUGGAAUUUACGGUGUAGCAGUGAAAUGCGUAGAGAUCGUAAGGAAGACCAGUGGCGAAGGCGGGUCUCUGGACAGUUCCUGACACUGAGGCACGAAGGCCAGGGGAGCAAACGGG